rnacentral:hammerhead_ribozyme from 1 species
CUCCAGCUGACAAGUUCCAAAUAGGACGAAACGCGAUUUGUGCUGGAU